UCACCCGGCGGGAUCAUCCCGUUCCUGGGCCGCGUUAAUUAAUGCCGGCGGCUUCCCCCGAGCCUGAGCCCCCGGGGGCUCUCCCCGCUCCCCGCGGGACGCGGCGGAGACGGGAGCGGGACAGCGGCAACAGGGAUGCUGCGGGGAAACACAGGGAAGGUUCUGCCAUGGCCAACCCGACUUUUCCCAAGCAAACCCUGCAGCUGUGAUGCAAACUAGAGCAAAACACGGCGGGAUGCGGCAUCCUGGUACCCAAAAUUCGGCUUCCAGGAGAAGCAUUACCCAGCCAAGGCAGACCGUAGUUUUCUCGGAGCUCCACAGUCUCCUCUCUUUGAAGUUGGACAGAUACAGUAAACACAACAAAUAUAUGAUACAACCCAUCACAGCUGGAUUAAAAAAAAUACACAAAAAAUAUAAUACAUAAAAAAAUGGAUUUUUAACAUUGUGGACUGACGCAGCUCUAAAAAUGGUGAUUGUAACCCUGGUAAGCUUUACAAAGUCUUUAAAAAAAUAAAACAGUACUUCAUGUGAAAUUCAUAAAUACACUGGAGGCGAACGGAGGGGCUGGGGGAGUUGAGAAAGUGUCUCUGGGAUCAUGACUAAACCCCAGCCAGGGCUGCUGGGGGCACCAGUCUGUGUGCGUGGGUGCAGUGUGAGCCCUGGGCUCGGUGCAGGCAGCAGGGAGGGAGGGAUGGAUGGAGGCACAAACCUGUCCAGUUAACAAAGAGCUUCAUCCCCCAUCAGGGCUGGGAGUGGGCACGCCUGUGUUUUAUGGUGGGGGAGUUUUGAGUUUUCAUUCCCAGAGUUUUAGAUCAGUGAGUGAAACAGAAGAAAAAAAAAAAAAACAAAAACCCAAAAA